rnacentral:lncRNA from 12 species
AGUCCUUAUAGGAUACAAACCCUUAAAAUACAUUGCCAAAAUAAUCUGGCACAGCAAGUACUGCAGCUCAAUGGGGUAGCUGAUUUGAGUUGACCUUGACAGGGUUCUGAUAGUCCUACUCCACAGAAAACUUCAUGAGACAUGGUACCUAUGUGCAACACACACCACACACACACACACACACACACUUUUCCCAUCUAAGGUGUUAAAUGCUAUACUUUAACAUCUAAUAAUACUAGAAGGGUGUUAUUGAGAUGAACAAAGUUUAGUGCUACUUACCGAUCCUACAUAUAUGGUCCUUUGGAAUGAUGAGAUUAAAUAUUUUAAAAAGAAUUCUUAAUCCAUUAGCUACUCCUACCUAACAUUAACAUUAUAAACACUCAUGUCUAUUCAUAUAUUUGAAGCAGUGUAAAAGAAAAGCUAAAUCAGAGAGGUUAAAAAGGAGAAGAGAUCUACCAAAAGAAAAGUCAUCGGUUGAACUAAUUCACAGCAUGCAGUGCUUGAGGGUAUAAAGGCUCAGGGUUGACUCUGAGGAAGCCAGGCUGGUAUAGUAAAAAGAGUAUGCUCUAGAGUACGGUGGGGCCAGAUGGACCUGUCUCAAACAGUUUCUUCACAGCUCAUGAGCAGUGUAACCUGAGGUCAAGUCCUUACCUUCCUGAAACUUGGCCUCUUCUCCAAAAAAUGACAAUAAUAGUAAUUAAGUGUGGUUGUGAGGAUUCCUGAGAGAACAUACGUGGAGAGCCUCACUCAAUGCUUAGGCUUAUCCUGUAUUACACAUUAAGAAUCCUUCUCCCUCCUUCUGUGCCCCACCCCUUUUAGCAGGAAUAGCAGUGAUAAAGAAUUUGAUGCCCCAGAUGAGAAGAAUACUCUCGGGAUACCAUUCAUGGGAAGAAAAAAAAAAAAAAGAUGCUUCUUCAUCUAACCGAGGGCCAGGAGAAUGGUAACUCUCUGGGCAAAACAGACUCAUGCUGGUUAUUCCAAGCUACAAACUCCCGAAAGCUCAAAAGACACUAAUUACAUUUACGGAACAUUAACUAACACAAAACUCCUCGGAACUAUCUUUAGCAGAAUGGUGAGACCACAAGCACUCCCCACUAAAGCACACGGAUUUUCCCUUCGGCUUCUCAGCCUUGGCAGCGCAGUGCGUUACAUCACCGAGAAGGGCCUCUCACUCCACCUGAGGAAUCUAUCAGGAAAUUUUAUCACAAACCUUAGAAGUGACAUUUUGCUCCUUCUCCAUGUGGCAUAGAGCUAUUUCACACCUGUUAGUGAAAACAGUGUGCCUGUAAAUAACAUUUUUCAAGAGAAAAUUAGAAAUCGACUCCAAAGCAUCUGUAAACAAUAUCCAUCUACCACAAUUAUUGUACCACCAACUGAUACACGAGUCUCAGGCUAUCUAUAGAUAUAAUGAAAAUCAAGUAACAGAAAAAGGAAAAAGAAAAAUGGGUUAUUAUAAUGAAGUCUCUUUAGACACUAUUCUUAUAAUUAAUCCCAUUGGAGAGUUCCAUUUUUAAUUAAUACUUUUAAA